rnacentral:rRNA from 1 species
UACAGAGGGCGCGAGCGUUGUCCGGAAUCACUGGGCGUAAAGGGCGCGUAGGUGGCCACUAUAAGGCCGCGGUGAAAGUUCGGGGCUCAACCCUGAAUCUGCCGCGGCGACUGUAGGGCUAGGGCACCGUAGAGGCAGAUGGAAUUCCGGGUGUAGCGGUGGAAUGCGUAGAGAUCCGGAAGAACACCGGUGGCGAAGGCGGCCUGCUGGGCAGUGGCUGACGCUGAGGCGCGACAGCGUGGGAGCAAACAGG